GUGCUUGUUGUGGCAGCAUAUAUUAAAAAUUGGAAUGAUACAGAGAUUAACAUGGUCCCUGUGCAAGGAUGACACUGAAAUUUGUGAAGCGUUCAAUAUUAAG